rnacentral:rRNA from 1 species
CAGGCCUAACACAUGCAAGUCGAGCGGGCACUUUCGGGUGUCAGCGGCGGACGGGUGAGUAACGCGUGGGAACGUGCCUUCUGGUUCGGAAUAACUCAAGGAAACUUGAGCUAAUACCGGAUACGCCCUUUUGGGGAAAGGUUUACUGCCGGAAGAUCGGCCCGCGUCUGAUUAGCUAGUUGGUGGGGUAACGGCCUACCAAGGCGACGAUCAGUAGCUGGUCUGAGAGGAUGAUCAGCCACACUGGGACUGAGACACGGCCCAGACUCCUACGGGAGGCAGCAGUGGGGAAUAUUGGACAAUGGGCGCAAGCCUGAUCCAGCCAUGCCGCGUGAGUGAUGAAGGCCUUAGGGUUGUAAAGCUCUUUUAUCCGGGACGAUAAUGACGGUACCGGAGGAAUAAGCCCCGGCUAACUUCGUGCCAGCAGCCGCGGUAAU